rnacentral:rRNA from 1 species
UACGAAGGGGGCGAGCGUUGUUCGGAAUUACUGGGCGUAAAGGGCGCGCAGGCGGCUCUGAAAGUCAGAUGUGAAAGCCCCGGGCUUAACCCGGGAAGUGCAUUCAAAACUGCAAAACUUGAGUAUGGAAGAGGGUCGUGGAAUUCCUGGUGUAGUGGUGAAAUACGUAGAUAUCAGGAGGAACACCGGUGGCGAAGGCGGCGACCUGGUCCUAUACUGACACUCAUACACGAAAGCGUGGGGAUCAAACAGG